rnacentral:rRNA from 1 species
CCUACGGGGGGCUGCAGUCGAGAAUCUUUCACAAUGGGGGCAACCCUGAUGGAGCGACGCCGCGUGGAGGAUAAGGUCUUCGGAUUGUAAACUCCUGUCAUGUGGGAACAAGGUUGCGGGGCUAAUACCUUUGCAAAUUGAUGGUAACACAAGAGGAAGAGACGGCUAACUCUGUGCCAGCAGCCGCGGUAAUACAGAGGUCUCAAGCGUUGUUCGGAAUCACUGGGCGUAAAGGGUGCGUAGGUGGCGUGGUAAGUCAGAUGUGAAAGCCCGGGGCUCAACCUCGGAAUUGCAUCCGAUACUGCCAUGCUCGAGUACUGAAGAGGUGACUAGAAUUCUAGGUGUAGCAGUGAAAUGCGUAGAUAUCUAGAGGAAUACCAAAGGCGAAGGCAGGUCACUGGGCAGUUACUGACACUGAGGCACGAAGGCCAGGGGAGCGAACGGGCUUAGAUACCCGAGUAGUC